UAACUUUUAAACUCCAUCAAAAUUUUUAAAAAUUUUAAUUAAGUACACCCUCAUAAAUAUAAAGUCUUAUAUAAAAUUAGCAUAUUGCUCAAUUUUGCUCAAUUCAAUAGUAUAAAAAUUUUAUUUUUUAAAAACACUUAUACAUAUACCUUAAUUUAUUUCUCUCUAAUUAAUACCAAUAAAAUUUCUAAUUAACAAUUCUAAAAUCAACAUGCUAAAAAAUUUAUCCAGACUAUUUGCCUCCAACCGCUAGAAUCCGAUCCACGAUCUGAGCGCGUCUACGCACUCGAAACAAUGCAUAGAGAAUGAGUCUAGAAUUUGAUUCUUCAAUUUAGCUCCCGAUCACCCAAAAAACAUCCCGAACAUUUAGCUCCCGAUCACCGCAAAAUUGGUGCCCUGAAAAGCUUGCAAUGCGGGAAGUCCAUUGGUCAACUCUGAUCGGUCUAACCUCGCCGGAGAUGGCCGAAAAAAUAUCUAAAAAUCAGAUGCCUAUGCAAAUAUUACUUCGCCGGAUUUUGCUUUUCUAGCAACCACAAGGGGAAUAAUGGGCAGAGAUGAAAGCCCACUGGUUGCUGGUCAUUUUGAGACUAGAACUACCGCAAACGAACGUCAGAAAUUCCUCAUACAGCAGUGAGAAGUUGUUGCCUUCCUCACCAGUUCAUGCCAUCUGCUCACGUUGCCAGUUACUGGCGUCGUUGCUGCUGCACUCGUCGGCAUCUCCUCCGUAUCCGGCCAGCUUCCCCGCCUCUCAAACCAGCUCUUUCUCUUUCUGCCAUUAAUGGCAACCAAGCUUUCUCUCUCUCUCUCUCUCUCUCUCUCUCUCUCUCUCUCUCUCUCUCUCCUUACCCAUAUACUAACUAUUAAUCUGAAAGUUAUUCUUAAA
rnacentral:lncRNA from 1 species